AUUGAACGCUGGCGGCCGGCCUAACACAUGCAAGUCGAACGAGUGGCGGACGGGUGAGUAAUGUCUGGGAAACUGCCCGCUGGAGGGGGAUAACUACUGGAAACGGUAGCUAAUACCGCAUACCAUCGGAUGUGCCCAGAUGGGAUUAGCUAGUAGGUGGGGUAACGGCUCACCUAGGCGACGAUCCCUAGCUGGUCUGAGAGGAUGACCAGCCACACUGGAACUGAGACACGGUCCAGACUCCUACUAUGAUCAGCAGGUUAAAAUAUUGCACAAUGGGCGCAAGCCUGAGCCAGCCAUGCCGCGUGUAUGAAGAAGGCCUUCGGGUUGUAAAGUACUUUCAGCGAGGAGGCGUUACUCGCAGAAGAAGCACCGGCUAACUCCGUGCCAGCAGCCGCGGUAAUUC
rnacentral:rRNA from 1 species